GAUGAACGCUGGCGGCGUGCCUAAUACAUGCAAGUCGAGCGAACGGACGAGAAGCUUGCUUUUCUGAUGUUAGCGGCGGACGGGUGAGUAACACGUGGAUAACCUACCUAUAAGACUUGGAUAACUUCGGGAAACCGGAGCUAAUACCGGAUAAUAUUUUUAACCUCAUGGUUCAAAAGUUAAAUACGUUCUUGCUGUCACUUAUAGAUGUAUCCUCGCUGCAUUAGCUAGUUGGUAAGGUAACGGCUUACCAAGGCAACGAUGCAUAGCCGACCUGAGAGGGUGAACGGCGACACUGGAACUGGAACGCGGUACAGACUCCUACGGGAGGCAGAAGUAGGGAAUCUUCCGAGAUGGGCGAAAGACUGAAGGAGCAACGCAGCGUGAGUGAUGAAGGUCUUCGGAUCGUAAAACUCUGUUAUUAGGGAAGAACAUAUGUGUAAGUAACUGUGCACAUCUUGACGGUACCUAAUCAGAAAGCCACGGCUAACUACGUG
rnacentral:rRNA from 1 species